CGGGUUCAGCCUUCCCCAGAUGUCGCCCAACAAAAUUCCCCCUUGGGGAUAACCUUGUUGUCUGAGAACAUAUCCUAAAGUUAAAUAUAAAGAUCUGUAUAAGGAUUCUGAACCUGCUUCCAUCUACAAAAUAGAAAGAAAAAAAAUGAAGAGAAACAUAAUAAGGCCCUUGGGCUCUGUAAGUCAAUUGUAGCCGGAGUCGAAAAAUCGGAGCCAUCGGAGGUUCCUUAUCCUCUGAACGGAGAUAUUAC